CGGUACAUAAUUCUUAUAGCGUAAAAGAUAAUUAUAUUCAUAUAUAUAAUAAAACAAAUAACCAAAAUAUAAAAUUUCUUUUACAGUGACACGUGGGCCCACCUCUAAGCAAAAUGCAUCGGAAGCUGAAAACCUACAGCUUUUACCGAUUCGAGUCCAAAUGAAAGUCCUUGUCAAAGUCAGCUAACUAUGGAAUUCCCUGAGCCUGAAAUGUGAGGAAAUGAGGGUGGUGAGAUUAUAAAAUCCCAGUGAGUAAAUAAAUACCAUCUAAACUAUCUAAAGUCGAGUAAAUGGAGAUAAUUAAAAUAAAUCAUCAUACUGUAAUUUCAUUACCUUUCAACUCAUUUCAACCAAAUAAAAUCAAUCCAUAAAAAUCAAGUAAUCAACUUGGCUUAUGAAUUUCUUAAAACUUUGGCUCGUGCCAAAACUCAUACUCGGUGAUACCUUGCGCAGGGCAUCUAACCGAGUCCGCCAAGGCUGUUAAAAUUUGUAUACACUUAAAAUAUAUUUAGUU
rnacentral:lncRNA from 1 species